CGAUCAUCUCGUCGAGCUGCGCUUCGGUCUGGGAAACCGCCGUUCCACCGCUGAAGCUGAACGCCAUCGU
rnacentral:sRNA from 1 species